UUCUUUUUUUAAAAAAAUAACAAAUAAUUAUAUAAUAUAAGUUGCAAAUGGUGAGGAUUCCAAACCGUUUCAAGCAGGGUCAGUUACAGAGGAGAACAGAUAGUUUUUAAAGUUUUCGAAUACAUUUCAAUUCAAUCGGAAUGCAGUUGAAGAAUUUAGGGCCGAAGAAAAAGAAAGAUUUUUGCGUUAAAGAUUUUCUGAAAAGUUGUAUACUGAGAUUCAAAUUACUAGUGGAUCUGGUUAUUCCAGUUUUUCUCUGGUUAGAUGUUUCGUGUCUGAUGUACAUUCUUUUUAAACACUGAGAAUCAAGUGUAGUAUUGAAGGGCCCACCCCAUGCUGUGAUACAGUAGGUCAUUACAGAUUCAGCUAGGGAAUUGUAAAGUAAAAGGAGAUUUC